GCGACCCGCGCCUGUUCCUCGUGACCCUCUCCGAGUUCGGGGAGGCCACCGCUGUCACGGUGGUGUGCGUGCGGGAGGGCACGGCGGCGGCGGCGCCCCGCUUCAGGUCCACGGUCUGGGCUGAGGUUGCCAGCAACACGGAGGAAAAUUUGUUUCGUCGUCUGUCCACCGUGCCGAGCAGCAGCAGCGGCAAUCUUCCCGGUGGAAGGCCGCCGGUGUGCCUGCUGGUGCCACCGGACUUUGGGAGCGAGAGCGAAGACCUCUUCCUCGGUGUUCGCAUUGACAAGCUCUUCUGAUCCAUCGACGCCGCCAAGUCUCAUUAAUCCAUGGUCGUGAAUGUUUUCUUAAUCACUGUGUUGACGACUAAUGCACCGUCGUCGUCAUGGAAAAGGUAGAGAGAUGAGUGGUGUCGAAAAAAAAUUCUCGUUGGUGAUGAAGGUUAUACGACAGGCCUGGAUGGGUAGAAAUUAUAUCUUCUUGUUUCUGCGGGUUUAGGAUUUAUAUGUUCUGCCUAUGUAUCUUUGUCGAUAAACAAGAUGAUUACAGUACUGUAGAUCUAAUCUAUGAUGAUUAUAGCUUGCUGUGUCAUAGCACACUCAGUC